CUACGGGUUGCUCCAGUGAGGAAUAUUGCACAAUGGGGGGAACCCUGAUGCAGCAACGCCGCGUGGAGGAUGACGCAUUUCGGUGUGUAAACUCCUUUUAUAUGUCAAGAAAAUGACGGUAGCAUAUGAAUAAGCACCGGCUAACUCCGUGCCAGCAGCCGCGGUAAUACGGAGGGUGCAAGCGUUACUCGGAAUCACUGGGCGUAAAGGACGCGUAGGCGGGUUGGUAAGUCAGGUGUGAAAUCCUACAGCUUAACUGUAGAACUGCACUUGAAACUACCGACCUAGAGUAUGGGAGGGGAAGAUGGAAUUAGUGGUGUAGGGGUAAAAUCCGUAGAUAUCACUAGGAAUACCUAAAGCGAAGGCGAUCUUCUGGAACAUUACUGACGCUAAGGCGUGAAAGCGUGGGGAGCAAACAGGAUUAGAUACCCCCGUAGUC
rnacentral:rRNA from 1 species